AGUGAACGCUGGUGGCGUGCUUAACACAUGCAAGUCGAACGAGAACGGAUUAUAGCUUGCUAUAAUUGUCAGCUAAGUGGCGCACGGGUGAGUAAUGUAUAGGUAAUAUGCCUCUUACUAAGGGAUAACAAAUGGAAACGUUUGCUAAUACCUUAUACUCCUUAUUAACAGAAGUUAAUAAGGGAAAGAUUUAUUGGUAAGAGAUUAGCCUGUAUUGUAUCAGUUAGUUGGUGGGGUAAUGGCUUACCAAGACUAUGACACAUAACUGGUUUGAGAGGAUGAUCAGUCACACUGGAACUGAGACACGGUCCGGACUCCUACGGGAGGCAGCAGUGGGGAAUAUUGCACAAUGGACGAAAGUCUGAUGCAGCAACGCCGCGUGGAGGAUGACACAUUUCGGUGCGUAAACUCCUUUUAUAUGAGAAGAUAAUGACGGUAUUAUAUGAAUAAGCACCGGCUAACUCCGUGCCAGCAGCCGCCGUAA
rnacentral:rRNA from 1 species